CGGAAGUGCUGGGUGGCUCCGAAGAGGGGUCCUCACAGUAAGACAAGCCUUUAGGGAGGCACAAAGCGGCCUGCAUUCCUCAGGUUUGAGGACUCUCACUCCGCCAGGGCUGCUGCUCUGGAGGAAGCAAAGCUGACUCGAAAACCCAUCUCUGCUGGAAUACGAAUGACGGAAGUGCUCUUUCCGAAGCAUAUUAAAAAUAAGAAAAAAAAUAUAGAUGUAUAUAUGGAGAGCGAGAGAGAGGGCGCAUACAUGACAGACGGAAGGGUACUCGGCAGAGUAUUUUUAAUCCUGGAGUCAGGAUUAUGUAAGGACGGGAAGAGAAAUGUGAAGGCAGCUGGUGAGUCAUCUGGAGCAGGCAGGGAAGCAAGUCAGGCCCGCACCUCCUUUCACUCCCUGCCAGCAUCUGCAGGUGCCCAGACCCGCGGGGCCACACCAAAGAGGCAAGAAAGGUCAGACAGACACAGAGACCAGAAGCAGAAGUGACACGGCAAAGCAGCAGCCCAACACGGACAAAGAGAAACCGAGGACGAAGAGAGACUGGAGAGCCAUGGACAGAGACAGCCAAAUAAACCUCAGACAGAGUCCAGCCAGCUGACUAGGUUUGUUGACCGCCCCCCAGUGCCAGGCAGUGUUCUCCGUUCAGAGGACACAGGAGCGAGUGAAACAGAAACUCUGCCUUCCACGGCCUCCUGUCUAGGGAAGGCAGGGGCAGCAGAGAUGGGCAGUCACAGGGAAGCUCUCUAGACACAAUGAUCCCAGGUAGCCGUGAAACAAUAAAGCAAGGUGAAGUGAUAGCAAAACUGAGAACCCCAGAC
rnacentral:lncRNA from 1 species